UACGGAGGGUGCAAGCAUUAAUCGGAUUUAUUGGGCGUAAAGGGCGCGUAGGCGGGCAGAAAAGUCAGAUGUGAAAUCCCGGGGCUCAACCUCGGAACUGCAUUUGAAACUGUCUUUCUAGAGGAUAGGCGGAGAAAACGGAAUUCCACAAGUAGCGGUGAAAUGCGUAGAUAUGUGGAAGAACACCGGUGGCGAAGGCGGUUUUCUAGCUUAGACCUGACGCUGAGGCGCGAAAGCAAGGGGAUCAAACAGG
rnacentral:rRNA from 1 species